rnacentral:rRNA from 14 species
AGGGCGUCGAGUUCGUCGGAUUAGACCCGAAACCGGGUGAUCUAGCCAUGGGCAGGUUGAAGGUGGGGUAACACCCACUGGAGGACCGAACCCACCGAUGUUGAAAAAUCGGGGGAUGACCUGUGGCUAGGGGUGAAAGGCCAAUCAAACUCGGAAAUAGCUGGUUCUCCGCGAAAUCUAUUUAGGUAGAGCGUCAUCUGAAUACCCUCGGGGGUAGAGCACUGGAUGGGCUAGGGGGUCCCAACGACUUACCAAACCUAACCAAACUCCGAAUACCGAGGAGUACUAGAUGGCAGACACACUGCGGAUGCUAACGUCCGUAGUGAAGAGGGAAACAACCCUGACCUACAGCUAAGGCCCCUAAUUCGUGGCUAAGUGGGAAAGCAGGUGGGACGACCAAAACAACCAGGAGGUUGGCUUAGAAGCAGCCAUCCUUUAAAGAU